CUGAUGAUGGUAACGAAGGUAAUCGUGACUAAAGGGAGUUGGAACUGAAGCGGUGAGUAACAGUAGAAUGGAGAGGUCUGGAGGUUAUGUAGUCUGGAGGUCAGGAGGUUAUGUAGUCUAGUCUGGAGGUCAGGAGGUUAUGUAGUCUAGUCUGGAGGUCUGGAGGUUAUGUAGUUAGUCUAUGGUAGUCUGGAGGUCAGGAGGUUAUGUAGUCUAGUCUGUGGUAGUCAGGGGGUUAUGUAGUCUAGUCUAGAGGUCAGGAGGUUAUGUAGUCUAGUCUGUAGGUCUGGAGGUUAUGUAGUCUAGUCUGGAGGUCAGGAGGUUAUGUAGGCUAGUCUGUAGGUCAGGAGGUUAUGUAGUCUAGUCUGUGGUAGUCAAGAGGUUAUGUAGUCGAGUCUGUGGUUGUCUGGAGGUCAGGAGGUUAUGUAGUCUAGUCUGUUGGUCAGGAGGUUAUGUAGUCUAGUCUGGAGGUCAGGAGGUUAUGUAGUCUAGUCUGGAGGUCAGGAGGUUAUGUAGUCUAGUCUGUGGUAGUCAGGAGGUCAGGAGGUUAUGUAGUCUAGUCUGUAGGUCAGGAGGUUAUAGUCUAGUCUAUGUAGUCUGGAGGUCAGGAGGUUACGUAGUCUGGAGGUCAGGAGGUUAUGUAGUCUAGUCUGGAGGUCAG
rnacentral:lncRNA from 1 species